UAAUACGAACUGCGCAAACGUUAUUCGGAAUCACUGGGCUUACAGGGUGCGUAGGCUGCCAGCCAGGUCCGAUGUGAAAUCCCACAGCUCAACUGUGGAAUGGCAUUGGAAACCGGUUGGCUUGAGUGAGCUAGAGAUGCACGGAACUUCCGGUGGAGCGGUGAAAUGUGUUGAGAUCGGAAGGAACACCAGAGGCGAAGGCGGUGCAUUGGGGCUUGUCUGACGCUGAGGCACGAAAGCCAGGGGAGCGAACGGGAUUAGAUACCCCGGUAGUCCUGGCUGUAAACGAUCAGUACUAGACGGAGGGGGGCUUGCCCUUCUCGGUCGUAGCGAAAGCGAUAAGUACUGCGCCUGGGGAGUAUGGUCGCAAGGCUG
rnacentral:rRNA from 1 species